rfam:Triticum aestivum genome assembly, contig: Triticum_aestivum_CS42_TGACv1_scaffold_581071_7BL
CAACUACUCCCUCCGUCUAAAAUUACUUGUCGCAGAAAUGGAUAAAAAUGAGUAUAUCAAGAAUUAAAAUACGUCUUAGAUACAUUCAUUUUUCUGACAAGUAUUUCCGAAUGGAGGAAGUAUUUU